AUGAGCCAAAUUUGUGGCUUUACCAUGUAGCAGCGAUGGGCCAAAUUCAUGCCAUGAUAUCAACCCCCCAAAAUAGAUGAUACAUAAUCUGAUCACAAAUGCUUUGAUAUAUAUUAUGAAAUGGUUUGUGUGAGGGGUGAUUUUUUCUCAUUUUUCUCGCUUAGAGGGACCAUUAAGAAACAUGACCCCCGCUGAUACUGGGUUAAUUGAGGCUUUACGAGAAGUGUACUUGAAAUACGGCUGUCUUUUGUGUUCCCUGGAAGCACCCCUUAGAUUGAUUGCGUCAUUUAGGGGUUACAGGAGUCACAAUCGGAGAUAUUUUUACCGACCCCGACUCACACCCAUGGCUUGGAAUGAGUUAGCAAUGAGGGCAAGGAAGAUCCACAAUUUUAAGUCCAAGUUUGGUAAAAGUAGAUAUGGAACCAGGUUAUUUUAAGUCCAAGUUUGGGAAAAGUAGAUAAGGAACCAGGUUAUUUUAAGUCCAAGUUUGGGAAAAGUAGAUAAGGAACCAGGUUAUUUUAAGUCCAAGUUUGGGAAAAGUAGAUAUGGAACCAGGUUAUUUUAAGUCCAAGUUUGGGAAAAGUAGAUAAGGAACCAGGUUAUUUUAAGUCCAAGUUUGGGAAAAGUAGAUAAGGAACCAGGUUAUUUUAAGUCCAAGUUUGGGAAAAGUAGAUAAGGAACCAGGUUAUUUUAAGUCCAAGUUUGGGGAAAGUAGAUAAGGAACCAGGUUAUUUUAAGUCCAAGUUUGG